AUCUAAUUAAAAUAUAGAACUCGGAUUUCGUUAUACUACAUACGAGAUCUAACAAUGACCCUAAUCUCUUUCACUUUUGUGACCUUUUUUUACGUAAUAUUUGACCUCAGAAAGAAUUUAUAUCGACCAAUCAGAAUGCUCCUUAUGAACGCAACCUAGGAAUAUGUUGAAGAUGGCGACGCAGAAAUGGAAAAACGACUUAGAAAAUGCAUUAACUGAAAUUUUGCCUUAGUACAAAGUGAAAGAAUUGAAAUUUGAGAAGAGACAAAUUUUGGAAACUAUUUUGGAGAUCAAAGAUUGCAUGGUCAGGCUUCCAACAUGCUUCAAACGGGCUAUGGAAAGAGUUUACACACCAGAUAUCUGCUACCUGUUCGCUGUUGCAAGGAAAAUGAAGGAACACGGUACAGACACUAGGACCGAUGGUAAAAUCGUAGUCUGCGGUCCAAGUUUCCAAACUUAAGUCUGUACCGAUAAUCAAGUCCGCAUUCAAAGGAGCAGACAUUCUUCCCUGGUCUAUAUAGCUUCAUGGAAAGGAAUCAGACACAGAAAGUUUGGGGAAAUGAAAUUGAGUCACUGUGAAUAAUUCACAUACAUGCCAGACAUAAAGAAAUGGCCAGACACAGGCUCAGCUAUAGAAUCUGUAUCAACUGGAAGCAACAGCAUUUUCAUCAGAAAAUUAAAAAGGAUGUGAAAAACAUGAAAUAUGCAUUUGGAAAUAUUCAGCCACCAAACAAAUAGAUAUGCCAGGAAAUGCAAAUUGUUUGCUAAUAUAAAUGUCAAUGAUGUCUGUACAAAAGCAAAGAUAUAAAAGCCUUUUUCAUUUAUAAAUACAUGUAACAGCCACAUACAAUACAAAUUUAAGACGAACAGACAUUCUUUAAAUCUUUGGUAGCCACGGAACCUAGUCGUAGACAUUCCAUAUUUUCAACUCGUUAUGAAGACAUAUUUGACCAAUCUGGUUUCCAAUAGAAGUUUAAAAAUAAGUUCUACAUGUACAUGACAUGAUGAUCACCAGCAAUGAAGGUGAUAUAGGAUUUAAUAUUCAAAGUAAUGUUGAGAAGUAUAAAGUGAAGUUGAACCUCCCACCAUAAUAGCAUUCUACACAUUUUGGAUCACAUAUGGAUCAAGCUGUUGUACUUGUGAACUAAAAGAUUGUUGCUUGUCAGGUACAUUGUACAUGUUGACAGUGCUAUAAGUUCAUUAAAUAAAAUGCAGUUCAGAACAGUUAGUAAUAGAUA